rnacentral:rRNA from 1 species
CGCAGCCACGGUAAUUCCAGCUCCAAUAGCGUAUAUUAAAGUUGUUGCAGUUAAAAAGCUCGUAGUUGAAUUUCGGGAUCAGUACGCUGGUCAUGCCUUUGGUAUGCACUGGUGUCACUGGUUUCUCCCUUCUGAGGAACCGUGAUGUCAUUAAUUUGGUGUCGCGGGGAAUC